rnacentral:lncRNA from 1 species
UCCUUAGGAUGCAGAGACCACCAACAUACUCCUUCCUGACUUCAUUGUACCCAACUGGGAUGACAUAAGGGCUUCCCACGUGGCGCUAGUGUUAAAGAACCCUCCUGCCAGUGCAGAGGAGAUAAGAGACGCGGGUUCGAUCUUCUUGGGAAGAUCCCCUGAAAGAGGGCAUGGCCACCCACUCCAGUAUUCUUGCCUGGAGAAUCCCAUGGACAGAGGAGCCUGGCGGACUACGGUCCAUGGGGUCACAGAGUCAGACACGAUGGAAGCAACGCAGCACACAUGCCCACAAGAUGACAAUAAAUAAGGCCGUUCUGUUUCCAGGACACCCAAAGCAUCUCAGGAAGUGUCAGAAGAUUCUCAGAGAGGGUUGUUGAGAGGCGGUGCAGGACCCAGAGGGAGAACAGACGAAAGCUGAAUUUCGCUGACGUGGAGAUGACCUGGGAGCCAAAGAUCUGACUUCGGUUCCUGGUUUUUGCCCCUUCCCGCCUCUUGGGCUUGACUCUUUUCUUUCUCUUGUCCUCUGAGGCCUCAGUUUCCCCGCCUGAGAUGUGCAGCCAGAACAAUUUGCUAAUCCACCGCCCAUGGAUGCGCGGAAAAAAUAUUUUGAAUUCCCACCAUCUUUUUUUCCUUUGAAUGAACUUGUUUAUCCGCUGGUCAGGGUCAGAGAGGGUCGAGGAGGAGGAGCAGCGAGGGGAGUGCCAUCCAGCUAAGCUGACAUGACGCGUUGGAAGGUCAGAGCCCACGGACCCCUGGACAGAGGGCCGUGUUGUUGGGCUUCGGAGUGCCCUUCUGGAAGCCAGUGGCCGGGUCUGAUGCAAGCGUGCCAGGAACUCCUGGGCCUGAAGAUCCCUGCUCAGAACAGAGGAGGCAAUGGAUUCUUUUGGAAAGGCUGCCUUUCGGCAUCUCAUCUCCAUGCAGUGGCUGAGCCUAGUGCCCUGUGUAUUUGCACUGGCUGGGACGCUGAAUUCACUGGAGAUAGAAGAAAACCAAGAGACUCAAGACCGGCAUCGCCAGCUCCCUGAGGGGGAAGGAGAGGUCCAUGGUACCCGAGUGCCACAGCCGCCUCCCCCGACCACCAUCGUCUGCUUUCUAAAUAAACCCCCGAGACGGAGCCGUGGGGGGUUAUAA